UUUAACUGACAGGAUAGAGGUCCGCCUGCCCUGUGACUAUAUGUUUAACGGCCGCGGUAUUUUGACCGUGCGAAGGUAGCGCAAUCACUUGUCUUUUAAAUAGGGACCUGUAUGAAUGGCAUAACGAGGGCUUGACUGUCUCCUCUUUCAAGUCAAUGAAAUUGAUCUCCCCGUGCAGAAGCGGGGAUAAAUACAUAAGACGAGAAGACCCUAUGGAGCUUUAGACACUAAAGCAGAUCAGCAUUAAUACCCCACACACGGGAUUCGAAUAAACUGACCCCUGCCCUAGUGUCUUCGGUUGGGGCGACCGCGGAGAAAUAUAAAACCCCCGCAAGGACUGAAUGUACCACAUUCACAACCAAGAGUGACAGCUCUAAUUAACAGAAUUUCUGACCAAUAAGAUCCGGCAAUGCCGAUCAAUGGACCAAGUUACCCUAGGGAUAACAGCGCAAUCUCCUCUUAGAGCCCAUAUCGACGAGGAGGUUUACGACCUCGAUGUUGGAUCAGGACAUCCUAAUGGUGCAGCCGCUAUUAAGGGUUCGUUUGUUCAACGAUUAAAGUCCUACGUGAAUCUGAGGU
rnacentral:rRNA from 1 species